rnacentral:SRP_RNA from 1 species
GACGCCUAGUGCGGAUUGCGUCGCGCUGAACCUCCCCAGGACAGGAAUGUAGCAAGGAUAGGUGAUUGUCGCUGUGGUGCGCUAGGCACCUUC